UGAGGAAUUUUGCGCAAUGGGGGAAACCCUGACGCAGCAACGCCGCGUGAGUGAUGAAGGCUUUCGGGUCGUAAAGCUCUGUCAAGUGGGAAGAACCUGUCCGAUGCAAAUACCAUCGGGCACUGACGGUACCACUGAAGGAAGCACCGGCUAACUCCGUGCCAGCAGCCGCGGUAAUACGGGGGGUGCAAGCGUUAUUCGGAAUCAUUGGGCGUAAAGGGCGCGUAGGCGGCCUCUUAAGUCAGAUGUGAAAGCCCGGGGCUUAACCCCGGAAGUGCAUUUGAAACUGAGAAGCUUGAGUAUGGGAGAGGGAAGUGGAAUUCCUGGUGUAGAGGUGAAAUUCGUAGAUAUCAGGAGGAACACCGGUGGCGAAGGCGACUUCCUGGACCAAUACUGACGCUGAGGCGCGAAGGCGUGGGUAGCAAACAGGAUUAGAUACCCUGGUAGUCCACGCAGUAAACGUUGUUCACUAGGUGUAGCGGGUAUUGACCCCUGCUGUGCCGCAGUUAACGCAUUAAGUGAACCGCCUGGGAAGUACGGCCGCAAGGUUA
rnacentral:rRNA from 1 species